GGGUUGUGAGGUUAAGCGACUAAGCGUACACGGUGGAUGCCCUGGCAGUCAGAGGCGAUGAAGGACGUGCUAAUCUGCGAUAAGCGUCGGUAAGGUGAUAUGAACCGUUAUAACCGGCGAUUUCCGAAUGGGGAAACCCAGUGUGUUUCGACACACUAUCAUUAACUGAAUCCAUAGGUUAAUGAGGCGAACCGGGGGAACUGAAACAUCUAAGUACCCCGAGGAAAAGAAAUCAACCGAGAUUCCCCCAGUAGCGGCGAGCGAACGGGGAGGAGCCCAGAGCCUGAAUCAGUGUGUGUGUUAGUGGAAGCGUCUGGAAAGGCGCGCGAUACAGGGUGACAGCCCCGUACACAAAAAUGCACAUACUGUGAGCUCGAUGAGUAGGGCGGGACACGUGGUAUCCUGUCUGAAUAUGGGGGACCAUCCUCCAAGGCUAAAUACUCCUGACUGACCGAUAGUGAACCAGUACCGUGAGGGAAAGGCGAAAAGAACCCCGGCGAGGGGAGUGAAAAAGAACCUGAAACCGUGUACGUACAAGCAGUGGGAGCCUCUUUAUGGGGUGACUGCGUACCUUUUGUAUAAUGGGUCAGCGACUUAUAUUCUGUAGCAAGGUUAACCGAAUAGGGGAGCCGAAGGGAAACCGAGUCUUAACUGGGCGUUAAGUUGCAGGGUAUAGACCCGAAACCCGGUGAUCUAGCCAUGGGCAGGUUGAAGGUUGGGUAACACUAACUGGAGGACCGAACCGACUAAUGUUGAAAAAUUAGCGGAUGACUUGUGGCUGGGGGUGAAAGGCCAAUCAAACCGGGAGAUAGCUGGUUCUCCCCGAAAGCUAUUUAGGUAGCGCCUCGUGAAUUCAUCUCCGGGGGUAGAGCACUGUUUCGGCAAGGGGGUCAUCCCGACUUACCAACCCGAUGCAAACUGCGAAUACCGGAGAAUGUUAUCACGGGAGACACACGGCGGGUGCUAACGUCCGUCGUGAAGAGGGAAACAACCCAGACCGCCAGCUAAGGUCCCAAAGUCAUGGUUAAGUGGGAAACGAUGUGGGAAGGCCCAGACAGCCGAUGUUGGCUUAGAAGCAGCCAUCAUUUAAAGAAAGCGUAAUAGCUCACUGGUCGAGUCGGCCUGCGCGGAAGAUGUAACGGGGCUAAACCAUGCACCGAAGCUGCGGCAGCGACGCUUAUGCGUUGUUGGGUAGGGGAGCGUUCUGUAAGCCUGCGAAGGUGUGCUGUGAGGCAUGCUGGAGGUAUCAGAAGUGCGAAUGCUGACAUAAGUAACGAUAAAGCGGGUGAAAAGCCCGCUCGCCGGAAGACCAAGGGUUCCUGUCCAACGUUAAUCGGGGCAGGGUGAGUCGACCCCUAAGGCGAGGCCGAAAGGCGUAGUCGAUGGGAAACAGGUUAAUAUUCCUGUACUUGGUGUUACUGCGAAGGGGGGACGGAGAAGGCUAUGUUGGCCGGGCGACGGUUGUCCCGGUUUAAGCGUGUAGGCUGGUUUUCCGUGCAAAUCCGGAAAAUCAAGGCUGAGGCGUGAUGACGAGGCACUACGGUGCUGAAGCAACAAAUGCCCUGCUUCCGGAAAAGCCUCUAAGCAUCAGGUAACAUCAAAUCGUACCCCAAACCGACACAGGUGGUCAGGUAGAGAAUACCAAGGCGCUUGAGAGAACUCGGGUGAAGGAACUAGGCAAAAUGGUGCCGUAACUUCGGGAGAAGGCACGCUGAUAUGUAGGUGAAGCGACUUGCUCGUGGAGCUGAAAUCAGUCGAAGAUACCAGCUGGCUGCAACUGUUUAUUAAAAACACAGCACUGUGCAAACACGAAAGUGGACGUAUACGGUGUGACGCCUGCCCGGUGCCGGAAGGUUAAUUGAUGGGGUUAGCGGUAACGCGAAGCUCUUGAUCGAAGCCCCGGUAAACGGCGGCCGUAACUAUAACGGUCCUAAGGUAGCGAAAUUCCUUGUCGGGUAAGUUCCGACCUGCACGAAUGGCGUAAUGAUGGCCAGGCUGUCUCCACCCGAGACUCAGUGAAAUUGAACUCGCUGUGAAGAUGCAGUGUACCCGCGGCAAGACGGAAAGACCCCGUGAACCUUUACUAUAGCUUGACACUGAACAUUGAGCCUUGAUGUGUAGGAUAGGUGGGAGGCUUUGAAGUGUGGACGCCAGUCUGCAUGGAGCCGGCCUUGAAAUACCACCCUUUAAUGUUUGAUGUUCUAACGUUGGCCCCUGAUCGGGGUUGCGGACAGUGUCUGGUGGGUAGUUUGACUGGGGCGGUCUCCUCCUAAAGAGUAACGGAGGAGCACGAAGGUUGGCUAAUCCUGGUCGGACAUCAGGAGGUUAGUGCAAUGGCAUAAGCCAGCUUGACUGCGAGCGUGACGGCGCGAGCAGGUGCGAAAGCAGGUCAUAGUGAUCCGGUGGUUCUGAAUGGAAGGGCCAUCGCUCAACGGAUAAAAGGUACUCCGGGGAUAACAGGCUGAUACCGCCCAAGAGUUCAUAUCGACGGCGGUGUUUGGCACCUCGAUGUCGGCUCAUCACAUCCUGGGGCUGAAGUAGGUCCCAAGGGUAUGGCUGUUCGCCAUUUAAAGUGGUACGCGAGCUGGGUUUAGAACGUCGUGAGACAGUUCGGUCCCUAUCUGCCGUGGGCGCUGGAGAACUGAGGGGGGCUGCUCCUAGUACGAGAGGACCGGAGUGGACGCAUCACUGGUGUUCGGGUUGUCAUGCCAAUGGCACUGCCCGGUAGCUAAAUGCGGAAGAGAUAAGUGCUGAAAGCAUCUAAGCACGAAACUUGCCCCGAGAUGAGUUCUCCCUGAGACUUUAAGUCUCCUGAAGGAACGUUGAAGACGACGACGUUGAUAGGCCGGGUGUGUAAGCGCAGCGAUGCGUUGAGCUAACCGGUACUAAUGAACCGUGAGGCUUAACCUUACAACGCCGAAG
rnacentral:rRNA from 1 species